rnacentral:rRNA from 1 species
GACGAACGCUGGCGGCGUGCCUAAUACAUGCAAGUAGGACGCAGUUGCGAACGCGUGAGUAACGCGUAGGUAUCUGCCCACUAGAGGGGGAUAACUCUUGGAAACGAUAGCUAAUACCGCAUACUCGCAGAUGGACCUGCGUUGUAUUAGGUAGUAGGUAGGGUAAUGGCCUACCUAGGCGACGGUACAUAGCCGACCCGGUAGGGGGAUCGGGCAAAAUGGGACUGAGACAAGGGCCAGACGCCUACGGGAGGGAGCAGUAGGGAAUGUUCGGCAAAGGGGGGAACACGGACCGAGCAACGCCGCGUUAGUGAAGAAGGGUUUCGGAUCGGAAAGCUCUGGUGUUAAGGAAGCGGUACUUAACCAGAAAGGGACGGCUAACUACGUGCCAGCAGCCGCGGUAAUAC